rnacentral:rRNA from 1 species
AUUGAACGCUGGCGGCAGGCCUAACACAUGCAAGUCGAACGGUAACAGGAAGAAGCUUGCCUCUUUGCUGCCGAGUGGUGGACGGGUGAUUAAUGUCUGGGAAACUGCCUGAUGGAGGGGGAUAACUACUGGAAACGUUAGCUAAUACCGCAUAAUGUCGCAAGACCAAAGAGGGGGACCUUCGGGCUUCUUGCCAUCGGAUGUGCCCAGAUGUGAUUAGCUAGUAGGUGGGGUAACGGCUCACCUAGGCGACGAUCCGUAGCUGGUCUGAGAGGAUGACCAGCCACACUGGAACUGAGACACGGUCCAGACUCCUACGGGAGGCAGCAGUGGGGAAUAUUGGACAAUGGGCGCAAGCCUGAUGCAGCUAUGCCGCGUGUAUGAAGAAGGCCUUCGGGUUGUAAAGUACUUUCGGCGGGGAGGAAGGGAGUAAGGUUAAUACCUUUGCUCAUUGACGUUACCCGCAGAAGAAGCACCGGCUAACUCCGUG